GAUACACGAGAAUUAUAGCCAGAUUAAAAGACGAGAAAUAAGCUCUGAAAAUUCUUCACUGCCCCUAAAAAAUUGCCAAGCUCUCAUUCUGAAAGGACUAACUUUUCUAUAACAAAUAUUAUCUGCCUUUGAUCGCAUUUUAAGAAAUUGAAAUAACAGCCUAAGACUGCAACAAUCACUGGAUUAACCAAUCAGCCGCUUGCUACAAUCUCAUGGAUGGCAUCACUGACAGAUUC
rnacentral:misc_RNA from 1 species